rnacentral:rRNA from 1 species
GGACGAACGCUGGCGGCGUGCUUAACACAUGCAAGUCGAACGGAAAGGCCCUGCUUUUGUGGGGUGCUCGAGUGGCGAACGGGUGAGUAACACGUGAGUAACCUGCCCUUGACUUUGGGAUAACUUCAGGAAACUGGGGCUAAUACCGGAUAGGAGCUCCUGCUGCAUGGUGGGGGUUGGAAAGUUUCGGCGGUUGGGGAUGGACUCGCGGCUUAUCAGCUUGUUGGUGGGGUAGUGGCUUACCAAGGCUUUGACGGGUAGCCGGCCCGAGAGGGUGACCGGCCACAUUGGGACUGAGAUACGGCCCAGACUCCUACGGGAGGCAGCAGUGGGGAAUAUUGCACAAUGGACGGAAGCCUGAUGCAGCAACGCCGCGUGCGGGAUGACGGCCUUCGGGUUGUAAACCGCUUUCGCCUGUGACGAAGCGUGAGUGACGGUAAUGGGUAAAGAAGCACCGGCUAACUACGUG